UACGUAGGUGACCAGCGUUGUCCGGAUUUACUGGGCGUAAAGAGCGCGCAGGCGGUCGUUCAAGUCGAGUGUGAAAGCCCCCGGCUCAACUGGGGAGGGUCACUCGAUACUGAUCGACUGGAAGGCAGGAGAGGGAAGCGGAAUUCCCGGUGUAGUGGUGAAAUGCGUAGAUAUCGGGAGGAACACCAGUGGCGAAGGCGGCCUCCUGGCCUGUUCUUGACGCUGAGGCGCGAAAGCUAGGGGAGCAAACGGG
rnacentral:rRNA from 1 species